rnacentral:rRNA from 1 species
GGGUCAGUAGGUUGGUCGUGCCACCGGUACGUACUGGUCUCACCGAUUCCUCCUUCCUGAAGAACCGUAAUGCCAUUAAUUUGGUGUUGCGGGGAAACAGGACUGUUACUUUGAAAAAAUUAGAGUGUUUAAAGCAAGCUAACGCUUGAAUGCAUUAGCAUGGAAUAAUGAAAUAGGACGAUCGAUCCUAUUUUGUUGGUUUCUAGGAUUGACGUA